UGGAAACUGUNUGACUUGAGUGCAGAAGGGGAGAGUGGANUUCCAUGUGUAGCGGUGAAAUGCGUAGAUAUAUGGAGGAACACCAGUGGCGAAAGCGGCUNUCUGGUCUGUCACUGACGCUGAGGCUCGAAAGCGUGGGUAGCGAACAGGAUUAGAUACCCUGGUAGUNCACGCCGUAAACGAUGAGUGCUAGGUGUUAGGCCCUUUCCGGGGCUUAGUGCCGGAGCUAACGCAAUAAGCACUCCGCCUGGGGAGUACGACCGCAAGGUUGAAACUCAAAGGAAUUGACGGGGGCCCGCACAAGCGGUGGAGCAUGUGGUUUAAUUCGAAGCAACGCGAAGAACCUUACCAGGUCUUGACAUCCCGAUGCUAUUCUUAGAGAUAGGAAGUUACUUCGGUACAUCGGAGACAGGUGGUGCAUGGUUGUCGUCAGCUCGUGUCGUGAGAUGUUGGGUUAAGUCCCGCAACGAGCGCAACCCUUAUUGUUAGUUGCCAUCAUUAAGUUGGGCACUCUAGCGAGACUGCCGGUAAUAAACCGGAGGAAGGUGGGGAUGACGUCAAAUCAUCAUGCCCCUUAUGACCUGGGCUACACACGUGCUGCAAUGGUCGGUACAACGAGUUGCGAGCCGGUGACGGCAAGCUAAUCUCUGAAAGCCGAUCUCAGUUCGGAUUGGAGGCUGCAACUCGCCUCCAUGAAGUCGGAAUCGCUAGUAAUCGCGGAUCAGCACGCCGCGGUGAAUACGUUCCCGGGCCUUGUACACACCGCCCGUCACACCACGAGAGUUUGUAACACCCGAAGUCGGUGAGGUANCCUUUUAGGG
rnacentral:rRNA from 1 species